GAAGAGAUUCCUGUAAUGGCGGCUUCCUGGAAGGUAGUGUCAUGUGGAACCUCUUAAUCUCAGCACCUGGAGCUCCAGGAAGGGGAAUUUCAAGUCAGAUAGAAUUCUAUAUAUACCAUUUCUUUGGAACCUUCAGCCCUCAAGAUUCCAACAUCAUUACCUCAGUUUCAACACAGUUGUCCUUAGUCCUCAUAUCACUGCUUUUGGUGCUGCCUGUUGUCAAAGUGGUAGAAGCCAGUGAUGCAAUUGUCCUCUUGUUAGGUGUGGUUCUCAGCAUUACAGGCAUUUGUGCCUGCUUGGGGGUACAUGCACGAAA
rnacentral:lncRNA from 1 species